rnacentral:rRNA from 1 species
UACAGAGGUCUCGAGCGUUGUUCGGAUUCAUUGGGCGUAAAGGGCGCGUAGGCGGCGGGGUAAGUCUGGUGUGAAAUCUCGGAGCUCAACUUCGAAAUUGCACUGGAUACUGCUCUGCUAGAGGGCUGGAGAGGAGAUCGGAAUUCACGGUGUAGCAGUGAAAUGCGUAGAUAUCGUGAGGAAGACCAGUGGCGAAGGCGGAUCUCUGGACAGCUCCUGACGCUGAGGCGCGAAGGCUAGGGGAGCAAACGGG